GACGAACGCUGGCGGCGUGCCUAAUACAUGCAAGUAGAACGCUGAAGGAGGAGCUUGCUUCUCUGGAUGAGUUGCGAACGGGUGAGUAACGCGUAGGUAACCUGCCUGGUAGCGGGGGAUAACUAUUGGAAACGAUAGCUAAUACCGCAUAAGAGUAGAUGUUGCAUGACAUUUGCUUAAAAGGUGCAAUUGCAUCACUACCAGAUGGACCUGCGUUGUAUUAGCUAGUUGGUGAGGUAACGGCUCACCAAGGCGACGAUACAUAGCCGACCUGAGAGGGUGAUCGGCCACACUGGGACUGAGACACGGCCCAGACUCCUACGGGAGGCAGCAGUAGGGAAUCUUCGGCAAUGGACGGAAGUCUGACCGAGCAACGCCGCGUGAGUGAAGAAGGUUUUCGGAUCGUAAAGCUCUGUUGUAAGAGAAGAACGAGUGUGAGAGUGGAAAGUUCACACUGUGACGGUAUCUUACCAGAAAGGGACGGCUAACUACGUG
rnacentral:rRNA from 1 species